GAUGAACGCUGGCGGCGUGCCUAACACAUGCAAGUCGAACGAAAGGACGAUAAGCUUGCGGGGUUGAUGUUAGCGGCGGGCGGGUGAGUAACGCGUGGAUCACCUACUUAUAUGUCGGGGAUAAUUACGGAAAACGGGAGAUAAUACGGGAGAAUAUUUUGAACCGCAGGGUGCAAAAGAGAGUGACGGCGUUGGUGGAUGUAAUAGAUGGUUCCGAGCUGCAUUAGCUGGUUGGUAAGGUAACGGCUUACCAAGGCAACGAUGCAUAGCCGAACUGAGAGAGUGAUCGGCCACACUGGAACUGAGACACGGUCAAGACUCCUACGGGAGGCAGCAGUAGGGAAUCUUCGGCAAUGGGCGGAAGCCUGACGCAGCAACGCCGCGUGAGUGAUGAAGGCCUUCGGAUCGUAAAGCUCUGUUAUUGGGGAAGAACAUCUGUGUAAUUAACCGUGGCCAUCUUGACGGUACCGAAUCAAAAAGCACCGGCUAACUACGUG
rnacentral:rRNA from 1 species